rnacentral:rRNA from 1 species
CCUACGGGGGGCAGCAGUGGGGAAUAUUGCACAAUGGGGGAAACCCUGAUGCAGCGACGCCGCGUGAGGGAUGAAGGAUUUCGGGAUGUAAAGCUCUAUCAGCAGGGAAGAAAAAGACGGUACCUGACUAAGAAGCCCCGGCUAACUACGUGCCAGCAGCCGCGGGAAUACGGAGGGGUCAAGGGUUAUCCGGAUUUACUGGGUGUUAAGGGCGCGUAGACGGUCAUGCAAGACAGAUGUGAAAGCCCGGGGCUCAACCCAAGGACUGCAUUUGGAACUGUCAGGCUAGAGUGUCGGAGAGGCAGGCGGAAUUCCUAGUGUAGCGGUGAAAUGCGUAGAUAUUAGGAGGAACACCGAUGGCGAAGGCGGCCUGCUGGACGAUGACUGACGUUGAGGCUCGAAAGCGUGGGGAGCAAACAGGAUUAGAUACCCGGGUAGUC